GACGUAGGGGGCAAGCGUUGUCCGGAAUCAUUGGGCGUAAAGAGCGUGUAGGCGGCUCGAUAAGUCUGCUGUGAAAGUCCAGGGCUCAACCCUGGAAGGCCGGUGGAAACUGUCGGGCUAGAAUCCGGAAGAGGCGAGUGGAAUUCCCGGUGUAGCGGUGAAAUGCGCAGAUAUCGGGAGGAACACCAAUGGCGAAGGCAGCUCGCUGGGACGGUAUUGACGCUGAGACGCGAAAGCGUGGGGAGCAACAGG
rnacentral:rRNA from 1 species